GAGGAGCCUGCUUCUCUGGAUGAGUUGCGAACGGGUGAGUAACGCGUAGGUAACCUGCCUGGUAGCGGGGGAUAACUAUUGGAAACGAUAGCUAAUACCGCAUAAUAGUAGAUGUUGCAUGGCAUUUGCUUAAAAGGUACAAUUGCAUCACUACCAGAUGGACCUGCGUUGUAUUAGCUAGUUGGUGGGGUAACGGCUCACCAAUGCAACGAUACAUAGCCGACCUGAGAGGGUGAUCGGCCACACUGGGACUGAGACACGGCCCAGACUCCUACGGGAGGCAACAGUAGGGAAUCUUCGGCAAUGGACGGAAGUCUGACCGAGCAACGCCGCGUGAGUGAAGAAGGUUUUCGGAUCGUAAAGCUCUGUUGUAAGAGAAGAACGAGUGUGAGAGUGGAAAGUUCACACUGUGACGGUAUCUUACCAGAAAGGGACGGCUAACUACGUGCCAGCAGCCGCGGUAAUACGUAGGUCCCGAGCGUUGUCCGGAUUUAUUGGGCGUAAAGCGAGCGCAGGCGGUUAGAUAAGUCUGAAGUUAAAGGCUGUGGCUUAACCAUAGUACGCUUUGGAAACUGUUUAACUUGAGUGCAAGAGGGGGGAGUGGAAUUCCAUGUGUAGCGGUGAAAUGCGUAGAUAUAUGGAGGAACACCGGUGGCGAAAGCGGCUCUCUGGCUUGUAACUGACGCUGAGGCUCGAAAGCGUGGGGAGCAAACAGGAUUAGACACCCUGGUAGUCCACGCCGUAAACGAUGAGUGCUAGGUGUUAGACCCUUUCCUGGGGUUUAGUGCCGCAGCUAACGCAUUAAGCACUC
rnacentral:rRNA from 1 species